rnacentral:rRNA from 1 species
AACGAACGCUGGCGGCAGGCUUAACACAUGCAAGUCGAACGCCUGUAGCAAUACAGGAGUGGCAGACGGGUGAGUAACACGUGGGAACGUGCCCAAAGGUACGGAACAACUCCGGGAAACUGGAGCUAAUACCGUAUGUGCCCGAAAGGGGAAAGAUCUAUCGCCUUUGGAUCGGCCCGCGUCUGAUUAGCUAGUUGGUGGGGUAAUGGCCUACCAAGGCGACGAUCAGUAGCUGGUCUGAGAGGAUGGCCAGCCACACUGGGACUGGGACACGGCCCAGACUCCUACGGGAGGCAGCAGUGGGGAAUAUUGGACAAUGGGCGCAAGCCUGAUCCAGCCAUACCGCGUGAGUGAUGAAGGCCUUAGGGUUGUAAAGCUCUUUCGCCAGGGACGAUAAUGACGGUACCUGGAUAAGAAGCCCCGGCUAACUUCGUGCCAGCCGCCGCCGUAA